GGGUUCAUUUUGACUCUUAAAAGUUUGUUCAUUUUGACUCUUAAAAGUUUUCUUUAGAUAAUUAAAAAAAAAGCUCAUGAAUUUUGUCACUUUCUCUAAGGAAUUACUCCUCACGUACACUCUUCUAGAAUAGGAUUUCCAUAUUCAAUUUUCUUGGGCAUCAUGGAAACCUCACCUCGACAUCUCACGUGACUCACAAAAAUCACUGAUAAUACACAAUCAAGUAGCAUUGGGGUCCCACGGUUUGGAGAAACAGAGAGGGAAAAGGAAAAAACAUUGCUCAUCUUCUCCAUAAGGCAAAAUUUCCUCCAUCUACACAAAACUCCACCAAAAUUUCAGUUCUUUACACAUACUUUUAACAUGGAAACUACUUAAUUCCAUCACCUCUAUUCAACUAAUGUUUGGACCACAAAUUAACAAAAGCUCCUCCCGUGAACUUUCCUUGACUGCAACACCACCCUUUCUCUAUUUUUAAAGCUCCCCCACCACCGUCCUUUAUCAUUUUCUUUGUCAAAAUUAUCAGUGAGUUAGAAAUCAGAAAUGGGUUGAAUAUUAAGGGUAAAUUUCGGGCUAGAUCUCUAGAUUUGAACUCCAACCGAAGUUGCCGUUAGAGUGGGUAUUGUUCGAGUGUUAGGGUCUGCGGUAUCGGUCCAGAUUUGAAACGCAAUCGAGGUGCUAUCGUCAGAUUUGGUUUCUAGUUCAUCUCUGAGUAAUGUUGUUGCUGUAUAAAGAGGAGCUUAAUCAAAAUCUGGAGAAAACUUUGCUACACAAAAGAUUCGGGACGUUUGGAUACCAAUUCACGCGGUUUUGAGAUAAAUAUCUUGCCUAACUUUGAGUGGGAAAUUACCCCUUAGUCAUCGAGUCUUAUGUGUCAUUUGUGAAAUGUGAAAAGCCGUGUACGCGAGGUGACGAGUACGUACUCGGGCUUAUUUGUGCAAAUUUUAUUGGGUUAAAGUCUUAGGCAUUAUUGUGUAGUAAAUUGGAUAAUUGUUGGCAUUUAUUAAAUCAUCUAUUUGUCAUGCCUCAAUCAUUGUUUGUUGAAUUUGUUUUUAUAUGAUAAUUUGAUGUGAUUGUUACUUGAAUAUUUAUGUAAAUUCCGUGAGUUUGUUGAUUUGAUAUUUUCUGAAAAUAAUUAUAUUAUAGAUUUUUUCAUCUGCAAAUAAUUAAUGAACUAAGUUUAAACUGAGACGUUAAUAUAAUUAUCAAGAAUUUGAAUUAAUGAUGGCUUUUUCCUAUACUGAGUAUUUUUUAUCUCUGUUGAUUGUUUUUAAGAUUUUAUAUACGUUGUGUGGAGCCUUGGGCUAUUUUUGAAAAAUUUAUUGAUUUUACUAUUGAUUCGGUUAGUGAUAUUUAACCUUGUUCAUGAUUGAACCCUAGAAUCAAUGAUUGCAAACAUUGAUUCAUGCCUAUUUGACUUAGCCCCUGCUUAAGAAAGAGAGACUAAGUCUAGGAAAACUUGGCUAACAAGAAAUUGGGGUGAACUCAAGAAAUUGAUAGCCCCAAUUAAAGGGUUAAAACCUAGAGAUAGUAAUAUCCGACUUGAGCUAAUAUCACUUGUAUUGUGCAAAUACCCAAUUGGGCUUGAGAAAGCCAAAUUAAAAAAAAUCACUCAAACUACCGAGAGGUAUAGAGUGAGUAUCCGGAUGUGAUUGCUACAUCCCUCAACUAAUCAAAUUUGCCCUGGAGUUUACAACCCAUUAGAUAACCACCUAGGUAGAAGUCACAACCCUAAUCCCUUUUAAUCAUUUGAAAAACUCAAAACCAAAAAUAUUGUCCUUAGUUUUAUACUUGCAAACAAUAAAGUAAAGUAGAAGUAAAAUACCAAUCAAGUUUGUGGUAGUGUAAUUAGAGUAAAAACUUGCAAUUAACUUAUAUAUACACCUAAUCCCAUAUUCUAACUCCAUGUGGAUUCGAUCCCGACAUUCGUUGGGUUUAUUAUUGCAUCGACCGCCUCACUACUUAAUUGUGGUGUGGGUUUGGCCGAGAUCAAUUUUUGGCGUCGUUGCCGGGGAGUUAAACGGAUUUAGCUAUAUAUCUAGGUAUUUGUGUGUUUUGUCUUUCUUUCCUUCCAAGUCACUAAUUUUAUUUGUGAAUUGCUUUUAGGUACAAAAUGGCCCUUAACAACGAGCCCCUCGAAAAUUUACCAUUGGGGGAGGAGGUAGAUGAUGAUUAAGUAGAUGAGGUUCAUCCCGAGCCUCAAGUAAAC
rnacentral:lncRNA from 1 species